UACGUAGGGUGCAGGCGUUAAUCGGAAUUACUGGGCGUAAAGCGUGCGCAGGCGGUCUUUUAAGUCAGAUGUGAAAUCCCCGGGCUUAACCUGGGAACUGCGUUUGAAACUGAAAGGCUAGAGUGUGGCAGAGGGGGGUGGAAUUCCACGUGUAGCAGUGAAAUGCGUAGAGAUGUGGAGGAGCACCGAUGGCGAAGGCAGUCCCCUGGGCCUGUACUGACGCUCAUGCACGAAAGCGUGGGGAGCAAACAGG
rnacentral:rRNA from 1 species